rnacentral:lncRNA from 1 species
GAAUAGUUUAUCUUCUGAGGUUUUUCACUUAUCUUUUUGUCGUCUUCAAAAACUUGGAGAUUAGCCACAACUGGAAACAGGCUGUAGAUUCAUGGCUUGAUGUUUUUACUGGUAUUAAAUCUCCUCACAUCUUGGCAUUAAAACAAUCACCACUUUGGAUGGAAGGAAGGAAUGCCUUCCUGAGAUCAGAUAGGUGAGGAUAGUUUUUCUCUUUUGGCGUCUUUUGCAACAGGAAUUUGGCUUCUCUCUUAGCUUCACCUGGAAGUUUUAUUUAAUAAAGUAUACAGUUAACUGGGAGACCUAAAAGUUUGUUUCAUAAAAAAAUUGGAGUGGAAAAAAAGUCCAACUGUAAGACCCAACAAAAGGAACUUUGGUGUUAAAUGGCUAACCACGCAGUGUAAAUUCAUUAGGUGCCAGAAGACUUGUGAAGCAUUGCUCAUUGUAAUGGGAUGUGCUGGCAGAAAUCCUUUGGAGUACUAUAGAGACAACAUAAAUACACCUUGAGAACACUUGUUCUAUUGAAGCUCACUGGCAGUUUGCAGACUUUAAAGAAUCUCUUUUGAAUUCUCAGUGAAAGAAGCCAUUUGUUGCAACUCCUGCCUUGGUUUAAAGAACUGCUGACACCUCCUGGAAAACAUUAAGAGACAUCUUAUUAAAGUAUCCUUCAGGGGAAUCUGUAGGAAGAGACAGUGCUAUCAGAGACUGCUGGCAAAAUGAUGGAAUUUCAUUGAUUUGCCAAGGCCAGUGUGAGGAGUUCAUGCCAUGACCCCAGAGGUCUUCCUUAGUUUUUGGAAUUUACUGUUCAUAUGGAGAACUAGCAAGAAAAAUGGUUGGAGGCACCUUAAAGAUCAUCAUGUUCCAACCCUCUGCCAUGGCAUAUUUGUGGGGCAAGUCUAUAGGAAAUGCACCAUUCUUAAAGAGACGGCCCUCUACUUCCCAGCUGUGGUAAUGCUACCACUCUCAGGAAGCAUAUUUCUGGACAAAACAAGAACAAGCACCGUGUUUUCAUUCCAGGGUCUUAUAAAUCAACAGAAAUAACAGACAUUGGAAGGCACGGAAUGUGGACAGUUUGUCUUUUUGGUUUUUUCUUUUUUUUUUGCAUUUUACAGAUUUUAACCAAUCUGUCCAUGGACAGUGUCUGAGAAGAACAUCAGAGGCUGUGGAUGCAGAACGGAUGCAAUGGGCAUGGUGUGGUCAACAUCAAAAAUUAGAUAUGUUUUCUGUAUUAGGGAGAAAGAGUUGCU